UACGAAGGGGGCUAGCGUUGUUCGGAAUUACUGGGCGUAAAGCGCACGUAGGCGGAUUGUUAAGUGUGGGGUGAAAUCCCAGGGCUCAACCCUGGAACUGCCUUUCAUACUGGCAAUCUAGAGUUCGAGAGAGGUGAGUGGAAUUCCGAGUGUAGAGGUGAAAUUCGUAGAUAUUCGGAGGAACACCAGUGGCGAAGGCGGCUCACUGGCUCGAUACUGACGCUGAGGUGCGAAAGCGUGGGGAGCAAACAGG
rnacentral:rRNA from 1 species